CAGUCGCCACGGUAAUACGUAGGGUGCGAGCGUUAAUCGGAAUUACUGGCGUAAAGCGUGCGCAGGCGGUUGUGUAAGACAGGUGUGAAGUCCCCGGGCUUAACCUGGGAACUGCGCUUGUGACUGCACAGCUAGAGUAUGGCAGAGGGGGGUGGAAUUCCACGUGUAGCAGUGAAAUGCGUAGAGAUGUGGAGGAACACCGAUGGCGAAGGCAGCCCCCUGGGCCAAUACUGACGCUCAUGCACGAAAGCGUGGGGAGCAAACAGGAUUAGAUACCCCCGUAGUCCCUGUCUCUUAUACA
rnacentral:rRNA from 1 species